UCCCUGGUUGAUCCUGCCAGUAGUCAUAUGCUUGUCUCAAAGAUUAAGCCAUGCAUGUCUCAGUGCAAGCCGCAUUAAGGUGAAACCGCGAAAGGCUCAUUAAAUCAGUUGUGGUUCCUUAGAUCGUACCCAAGUUACUUGGAUAACUGUGGUAAUUCUAGAGCUAAUACAUGCCGACAGAGUUCCGACCGUCGCGGCGCCCUCGGGCGUCGCUCGCGGGAGGAACGCUUUUAUUAGAUCAAAACCGGCCCGUCGCGGCGCGCUUCGUGCGCGUCCCGAUCGCGGCCCGCGCAAAGACCUGGUGACUCUGAAUAACUUCGAGCUGAUCGCACGGUCUCCGUACCGGCGACGCAUCUUCAAA
rnacentral:ncRNA from 1 species